rnacentral:rRNA from 1 species
CCUACGGGAGGCAGCAGUGAGGAAUAUUGGUAAAUGGGCGAGAGCCUGAACCAGCCAAGUCGCGUGAGGGAAGACGGUCCUAUGGAUUGUAAACCUCUUUUGUCGGGGAGCAAAAGACGCCACGCGUGGCUUUCCGAGAGUACCCGAAGAAAAAGCAUCGGCUAACUCCGUGCCAGCAGCCGCGGUAAUACGGAGGAUGCGAGCGUUAUCCGGAUUUAUUGGGUUUAAAGGGUGCGCAGGCGGAAGAGCAAGUCAGCGGUAAAAUUGAGGGGCUCAACCUCGUCGAGCCGUUGAAACUGGUUUUCUUGAGUGAGUGAGAAGUAUGCGGAAUGCGUGGUGUAGCGGUGAAAUGCAUAGAUAUCACGCAGAACUCCGAUUGCGAAGGCAGCAUACCGGCGCGCAACUGACGCUCAUGCACGAAAGUGUGGGUAUCGAACAGGAUUAGAUACCCUGGUAGUC